UCUCCGUUGGUGAACCAGCGGAGGGAUCAUUACUGGAAUCGCAAGACUCCCAACCCCUGUGAACGUACCGAAACGUUGCCUCGGCGGGCCUCGCGCCCGCCGGCGGCCCCCUACUCUGUCUCUGCAGCGUGGCAUCUCGAGAUAAACACAAAUGAAUCAAAACUUUCAACAACGGAUCUCUUGGUUCUGGCAUCGAUGAAGAACGCAGC
rnacentral:misc_RNA from 1 species